GGAGGAGUACCCAAGUGGCUGAAGGGGACGGUUUGCUAAAUCGUUAGUGGGGCGAAAGUUCCAGCGAGGGUUCGAAUCCCUCCUCCUCCGCCA
rnacentral:tRNA from 1 species